rnacentral:rRNA from 1 species
CCUACGGGUGGCAGCAGUGAGGAAUAUUGGUCAAUGGACGAGAGUCUGAACCAGCCAAGUAGCGUGAAGGAUGACUGCCCGAUGGGUUGUAAACUUCUUUUAUAGGGGAAUAAAAUGUUCCACGUGUGGGAUUUUGUAUGUACCAUAUGAAUAAGGAUCGGCUAACUCCGUGCCAGCAGCCGCGGUAAGACGGAGGAUCCGAGCGUUAUCCGGAUUUAGUGGGUUUAAAGGGAGCGUAGGGGGAUUGUGAAGUCCGUUGUGUAAGUUUGCGGCUCCACCGUAAAAUUGCAGUUGAAACUGGCAGUCUUUCUUACAGUAGAGGUGGGCGGAUUUCGUGGUGUAGCGG